UUUCAACUUUUUUUUACAUUUGUCAAACAAGAUUUCAACUUAAAAUUGUUUGGUUUUGCCUUCAUGUACAUUGGGCAUUAGUGCUUUUGUCUUUCUCCCGGUUUCAUCUUUGGGACGAGUCAUAAAUUAUGCAGGGCAACCACUGAAAGUCAGUGAGGCCUCGUUUACUCUGCGCAAUAUGGCACAGACGUGGCAACAGUUCUUCGAGCUGGUCAAAAACCUGAACUUUACCAGACUCAAAACGGAGAGUGCGCAAUGCGACAAACGGCGAUCCGAGUACAGAGACCGGAACGAGCAGCGACCAAGCCUGCUGCAGCCGAAGCAUAAGGAAAACUGCUCGGACAAAGAAACUUAAUAAGAAACUCGCUGUCCACUUUGAUACGACCCAGUUGCAGCACCUAGAAGUUAAUAAGCCGCGCUACGUAUCGAGCACUCACUUGCGACUGCCGUCCGCAGCCAAAAAGGCAGCUGCCCUAAAACAAUCAACAAUAUCCGGCAUGAAGCAAAACAAUAUGAGCCCGAAUAGAGUCCUAAAAGAGGGCGCCAAGGCUCAUAAAUAAACCAACAAUGAUCGAAAAGUCCUCGAACCUUCGGCUAUUUUAGUGCUACGAACUGAGUCGAAGGCUGCCGGAAAGCAGCUCAGACUGAACAGAGACAAUGGUCUCUUACAGGGCUUACAGGGUAUCAAUCAGUUGGUCAAUGCUUACCUACUCAUACCCACAGCAGCACGCAUUAAUUAUGUCAAUUCCAGAGUUUUUCUUUCAGUGUGCAGCCUCCUCCUUUUCCUCCUGCUUGUAGCUGUCAACUGAUAAUGAAACCUUAGCACUGUUGCUUUGAUCUGAUGCACAGGUGUAGCAAGCUCACACACCCACACACAGAGAGUGUGCAUGUGUGUGCUGUACACACACUCAUUGAAUUUGGUCGUCAACAAAUGACAAAACGCAAAUAGCGCUCAACCCCCGGCGCACUGCCAAUACCACCAAUUAUGCUAGGCAGGAGGUGUUGGGCAACUGGGGCUAUUAGCGCCCAGUGGAAGCCAACAUUCUAAUGAGUUGCCUGGCAGCCGUUGGUCGUUGCUGAAAUGCGAGUGCUGAAAUGUUUUCCUUCUCUGUUAUUUUGACGCCUCUGCUUGAGCCCAACGUGUGGCAGGGGGCAGGGGAUGGGCAAAUAGCGC